GGAGUUAUAGAUCAGUGGUAGAACACUUGUCUGGUAUGCAUGAAGACCUGGGUUUAAGCCCCUGUACUGCA
rnacentral:tRNA from 1 species